rnacentral:lncRNA from 1 species
CUUUUCUACUUUGUCAAGUCGGCUCUGUUCUCCUGAGCCCAGAGUCUCCUAUUUAGAUAAAAGGUCCCUGGUACAAAUCCAGCUUCCUAGUCAAGAAGAACAGAGAAUUUGGGCUCAGUGCACACAUGGUGUCCAUCCACAUACAAGCCGCACCACCCCUAAAGCAACUGGCUUCCACCGAGGGGAACUGGUUUCUGGAAGCUGUGUGAGUGCAUACGUGUUCCUUGGAUAAAAAUAAGGAUGGCAGGAGUCUUGAGACUUCUCUUCUUUUGGUGUGGAUUCCGGAACUCCUUUCUGAAGCAAGAGGCAAAUAUCUCUCAGCAGAGAAUGCCAAGACCAAUCACUUAACCAUGGCAAUCUUACUCAGCAUGGUAAUUCCCACCCUGAUGGUCCC